rnacentral:rRNA from 1 species
AAUCAUUAGUCUUUUAAUUUGGGACUAGAAUGAAUGGUUUAACUUAUUAAUUUUGUCUCUUUUUAAUAUUUUGAAUUUUAUAUUUUAGUAAAAAAGCUAAAAUUUUUUUUAAAGACGAGAAGACCCUAUCAAGCUUUAUAAUUAACUUUUAUAAUCGAAAAUAAAAUAAAUAUUAUUUUACUGGGGCAGUGAAUGAAGAAAUUUUCAUUUAGCUAUUUUGAUAAAUUUAUCUUGAAAGAAUCGAAAGAACUUUUUAAAUAAAGAAUGAAGUUGACUGUAGGGAUAACGAGCGAUAAUUUUUUUAAAGAGAUCUUAUCAUCAAGAGGAAGUUUGUGACCUCGAUGUUGGAUUAAGAUCCCCUAAUUUACGCAAUAGUUAAAUAAGG